rnacentral:rRNA from 1 species
UACGGAGGGUGCGAGCGUUAUCCGGAUUCACUGGGUUUAAAGGGUGCGUAGGUGGGCUGUUAAGUCAGUGGUGAAAUCUCCGGGCUCAACCCGGAAACUGCCGUUGAUACUAUCAGUCUUGAAUAUCGUUGAGGUAAGCGGAAUAUGUCAUGUAGCGGUGAAAUGCUUAGAUAUGACAUAGAACACCAAUUGCGAAGGCAGCUUGCUAACCGAAUAUUGACACUGAGGCACGAAAGCGUGGGGAUCAAACAGG